rfam:Ciona savignyi cont_28259, whole genome shotgun sequence.
GACGAGGUGGCCGAGUGGUUAAGGCGAUGGACUGCUAAUCCAUUGUGCUCUGCACGCGGGGGUUGGAAUCCCAUUCUCGUCG